rnacentral:rRNA from 1 species
UACGUAGGGUGCAAGCGUUAAUCGGAAUUACUGGGCGUAAAGCGUGCGCAGGCGGUUUUGUAAGUCUGUCGUGAAAUCCCCCGGGCUCAACCUGGGAAUUGCGAUGGAGACUGCAAGGCUAGAAUCUGGCAGAGGGGGGGGUAGAAUUCCACGUGUAGCAGUGAAAAUGCGUAGAGAUGUGGAGGAACACCGAUGGCGAAAGGCAGCCCCCC